CCUACGGGAGGCAGCAGUGAGGAAUAUUGGUCAAUGGGCGAGAGUCUGAACCAGCCAAGUCGCGUGAAGGAUGACGGCCCUCUGGGUUGUAAACUUCUUUUAUCUGGGAGUAAAACAGGGUAUGCAUACCCUCUUGUAUGUACCAUAUGAAUAAGGAUCGGCUAACUCCGUUCCAGCCGCCGCGGUAAUACCGGGGGUCCGAGCGGUAUCCGGAUUUAUUGGGUUUAAAGGGAGCGGAGGUGGAUUGUUAAGUCAGUGGGGAAAGUUUGGGGCUCAACCGUACAAUUGCAGUUGAAACUGGCAGUCUUGAGUACAGUAGAGGUGGGCGGAAGUCGUGGUGUAGCGGUGAAAUGCUUAGAUAUCACGAAGAACUCCGAUUGCGAAGGCAGCUCACUGGACUGCAACUGACACUGAUGCUCGAAAGUGUGGGUAUCAAACAGGAUUAGAUACCCGAGUAGUC
rnacentral:rRNA from 1 species